rnacentral:rRNA from 1 species
AACGAACGCUGGCGGCAUGCCUAACACAUGCAAGUCGAACGAGAUCCUUCGGGGUCUAGUGGCGCACGGGUGCGUAACGCGUGGGAAUCUGCCCUUAGGUUCGGAAUAACAGUUAGAAAUGACUGCUAAUACCGGAUGAUGACGUUAAAUCCAAAGAUUUAUAGCCUGAGGAUGAGCCCGCGUAGGAUUAGCUAGUUGGUGUGGUAAAGGCGCACCAAGGCGAGGAUACUUAGCUGGUCAGAGAGGAUGAGCAGCCACACUGGGACUGAGACACGGCCCAGACUCCUACGGGAGGCAGCAGUGGGGAAUAUUGGAAUACGGGCGCAAGCCUGAUCCAGCAAUGCCGCGUGAGUGAUGAAGUCCUUAGGGUUGUAAAGCUCUUUUACCCGAGAUGAUAAUGACAGUAUCGGGAGAAUAAGCCCCGGCUAACUCCGUG